AACGUAGGAGACGAACGUUAUCCGGAGUUACUGGGCGUAAAGGGCGUGCAGGCGGUCUGAUAAGUUCGGCGUGAAAUAUUCCGGCUUAACCGGGAUAGGUCGUCGGAGACUGUCGGACUAGAGGGUGAUAGAGGCGUGUGGAAUUCCGGGUGUAGUGGUGAAAUGCGUAGAGAUCCGGAGGAACACCAGUGGCGAAGGCGGCUCACUGGCCCGAUACUGACGCUGAGGUGCGAAAGCGUGGGGAGCAAACAGG
rnacentral:rRNA from 1 species